CCCGGGUCUUGUACACACCGCCCGUCAAGCCACCUGAGUUGAGUGCACCCGAAGUCGCCGUACCAACCCGCAAGGGAGGGAGGCGUCGAAGGUGUGCUCGGUAAGGGGGGCU
rnacentral:rRNA from 1 species